GGAGUUAUGAAAUGCAGGUUGGUUAAUACCCAACCUGUUUGACAAAGGCCCCAAAGGAAGCCACGGCUAACUCUGUGCCAGCAGCCGCGGUAAUACAGAGGUGGCAAGCGUUGUUCGGUAUUAUUGGGCGUAAAGAGCACGUAGGUGGUUUUGUAAGUCAGAUGUGAAAGCCUUCUGUUCAAAGGAAGAACGGCAUCUGAAACUGCAGAUCUUGAGUAUAGGAGGGGAGAGUGGAACUUCUGGU
rnacentral:rRNA from 1 species